UGAGAGGAGCAGUGAGAGGUGUAGUAGUGAGAGGAGCAGGAGUAGUGAGAGGAGCAGGAGUAGUGAGAGGAGCAGGAGAAGUGAGAGGAGCAGGAGUAGUGAGAGGAGCAGGAGUAGUGAGAGGAGCAGGAGUAGUGAGAGGAGCAGGAGUAGUGAGAGGAGCAGGAGAAGUGAGAGGAGCAGGAGAAGUGAGAGGAGCAGGAGUAGUGAGAGGAGCAGGAGUAGUGAGAGGAGCAGGAGAAGUGAGAGGAGCAGGAGUAGUGAGAGGAGCAGGAGUAGUGAGAGGAGCAGGUCCAGGGAGAAGAGCAGGCCUAAGGAGAGGGCAAGGUAGAGGUAUAAGAAUGCGUGGUGGUGGCAUUCUAAGGGCUACAAGGGCAGUGGUGAGUGAUGGAAUUCGUGCCACUAUCAUUGACCAUGUGAUAAACCACGGUCUUUCACUAAGGGAGGCUGGUGAAAGAGUACAGCCCAAUUUGGGGCGGUCAACGGUUGCGUCAAUUAUACGCAUCUUUCAACAAACCAACAGGUAAGUUUGCAUUUUACAUGGAUUGUUUCUAUUUUCACUUGACAUGUCAAUGAGGCCAUACAGUAAUGCAUAUGUUGAUUCUUUUUUGUCCCUCAAAAGAAUGCAACGUCUUCCUCCCUCUGGGGGAAGAGGUAAGCUCCUUAAUCAUCAACAAGAGCUUGCCAUAGUAGAUAUGGUUGUUGCAAAUAACGCAAUUAAACUGCAUGAGAUUCAAAGCAGAAUUUUGGAGGACCAAGAGAUAUUUCACAAUAUCAAUAGCAUCAGCCUCGCAACCAUUACGCGGACAUUGUCCAAACACAGAGUGCGGAUGAAACAGCUCUACACUGUUCCCUUUGAGAGGAACAGUGAGCGAGUCAAGGUGCUACGACAAAAAUAUGUCCAGAGAGUUAUGGAAUUGGAGGCCAACCAGGCCCCUCAUGAAUUCGUAUACGUGGAUGAGGCAGGAUUUAAUCUGGCCAACAGGCGUCGACGUGGAAGAAAUGUCAUUGGAAAAAGGGCCACAGUUGAUGUUCCUGGACAGAGAGGGGCAAAUAUCACUAUGUGUGCGGCAAUUUCAAAUGCAGGAUCACUCCUCCACAAAUGUCCGGUUGGACCUUACAACACCGAGCGCCUCCUUGCUUUUCUCGAUGAUCUCCACCAGCGCCUGGUUCCAGAGCAGGAUCAGGAGGGUGAAAACAGGAGGACCUUCGUUAUCACCUGGGACAACGUGGCCUUCCAUCACUCACAAGCAGUUACAGCAUGGUUUGAGGUCCACCCA
ensembl:lncRNA